AUGUCUGAACUUUUCUUUUUUCAAUCUCUAGUGUCCACUGCUAAAUCUUUACGUUUCUCUACUGCAACUGAAAUCAAGCCACUCCAGCAAGUUAAAAGCUUUCCAAAGAGCAGAUUGAAAAAAGAAGCCAGUCAUGAUAAUACAAAUCUUGAGGAGCACUGUACUAAGCAGACUGCAGCUCUUUUAUUGCAGUCUGUGGAUAUUAGCUGCCCAUCAACUCCUACAAAAAUGAAGAUGAAAAGCCAACAGCAAAUGGAACAAAUGUUUUCCAAGUUCCUGCUUUCUGAUGUGGGGAAAAAGCAAGGGGAACCAUUGAAAUCUCAGCAGGUGGCGCAUUCUUCAGCUCCUCUUCACCAGAUGGAGUAUUUGUUUCCAAAUGGUCAUGAACAGUCCAGACUGAAAUGCAAUAAGAUGCUAACAGAAGAAAACACAGUUCCAUGUUUAAUUCAUGCAAAGCAGCAAGAAAUGCAUCAGAAAGACUUUCCCAAAAUGCUCAGUAUUCCAAAAGAAAAGAAAAAGUUGUUGAAGCAAGAGAAACAUACUUUUAUUUUGCCCAACAGGGUUGAAGAUGAGAAAUCUGCUGUUGAUGAGAAGGCCAUUAUUGCUAUGCCUUUAUGUUUGGAAGAUGUAGCAUUUUACCAUCCAGUAAUAGAACCCAAGCAAGUAGGCAAAUAUUGGACAAACUACACUGGCAAAAAUUCCUUCAACCAUGAAAUAUAUUAACUAAAUAUUUGGUUCUGUGAAAAUAUGCUAUGAAUACGUUGAUCAACAUUAUUUAUGACUGUAUGCAUACUGUAUCCUUCUCAUGCCACUCAUUCAUUGUAAUUCUCUAAGUAUUACUUUUUGAUACACAUUUGUUCUUAGUAAUUGUGAACAGUUAUACAUUUUUAAUUAAUCUGUUCUCCUGAGCAGGGCAACAAAAGAAGACCCAGCCAAUCAUCUGGGACUCGGGAGGCAGAAAAUAGAUGGGGGCGGGGCCAGUCAGAGGUGGUAUUUACCGGUUCUCCGAACUACUCAAAAUUUCCACUACCAGUUCUCCAGAAUCUAUCAGAACUGGCUGGAUACCACCUCUGCCAUGUGGUCUUUUUCACAGAAAUGGAUAGCUUUUGAACAGAGAGUUGUUAGUGUUCAGCAAACUGAUCAAAAGUAUCAUCCAAAUUAUCUGCUCUUGUUCUCAGAUCUGCUGAAUAGCUAUAGCAUGUGGGAUGUUGCUCUUUGCUCCUAUCCCUGUCCCUGGAUUUUUGAAAGCUGAUUUGAGCUGAAAAGGACUACAAACUCUCCACUUUUCCUUUCUAUGAUUCAUAAACAUAGGAGGAGGGGUUUGGUUCAUGGAUUAGACUCCUCCUGCACAUAUCCUUCCUGCAACUAAUUGUCUCUCCCUGCCUGGCUACUGUUUCAAGAUUAUAAAUUAACUUUAGUCCAGCUUCCCAGAGAAGUACAAAAUUCUGAAGUUGGCAUAUACUAGUCUUAGUGUGAUGCCAUGCAUACCAUAAUUUCCAUCACAUACAGAUCAUCUAGCCAUGGCAAUAUUGGAGUUUGUAUUGCAAUGUAUUAGAACUUGAAUUAAUAUGUACAUUCCAUGUUAUUAUCUAAAUUCCUCUUGCCACCACACUUUGUCUGUAAACUAUAGAUAAAUAGAUCAACUCCCAGCUACAAAGAAGCCAGCUAAACUUUCUUGAUUAGUCGAUGGGAAUGAAGUCUGAUGACUGUGGUGAAAGAAAUAUCUACUCCCUGGGAAUUCCUCCCCCCCCCCCCCCCCCCCNNNNNNNNCCCCCCCCCCCCCCCGUACAUUCUUCUGUUGUUCCUGCAUUAUAAAGAACACAAUAAAGAGAAAUUAUUUUUUCAUAUUAACAAAAUUAAUCAAUUUAAAAUUAUGUAAUGAAUUCAUUUGGCUAAGAGACUUCAUUCCCUCAUGCCUGCAAUUCAGCCUAGAAAAGUAUUACAUAUUUGUUAAAUUAUAUAUUAAAAAAAUUAGAAAGUAUUAGAGAUUACAUAUUUUAAUUUAAGAGUCUUAACUGCUGCUAUUGGGACUGUGUUCCAUCAUUUAUUAACUAUAAUGUAUUCUCCUACUCUUCACCUACUAUCAUCCCUUUGUUGCUAAUGUUCAGCUGUGUAUUCUAUUUAAAUGUUUUUCCCCCUUUUGGGUCACUUAAUGCUACUCCAAUUUUCCCAUAAAGGUAAAAUAUUGUUUUAUAUCACUAAAUGGUUAUAUUUGAGUAUAGUUAUGUGUAUUAUUCCUUACACUUCUUGGCCAAAUUAAAAUCCAGCUAAAAUUUGUAGACAGCAAGCUGUUCUUGUUCAAACUGAAUUACUGUCUUUCCAGCUAUAACUAAUUGCUGCUGUUGGAAGGCAGUAACAUGGAGUUGGUUUUUGUUUUUAUUUUUGUUGCUGGAUUAUGUAACAAUUUCAUUUUCAUAUUGAGUCUUGAAUAUCUUUCCCAAGAUGGUCAGAUAUAUUGCAGAGUAUUAAUUCAAACAAUAUAAUCAAAAUAUUUAUGCAAAUCUUCUUGGAUGAUGUGCCAAUGAUUAAAAUAAUCAGAAGUUUUGACUCAAUGGUUCUUUCAGUGAAAAUCUUGAAUAAUAAUCUUUUUUGCACAACUCUUCCAUUUUUUGACUCACAUCAAAUGGUAUUUACUAGAUAGGAGUACCAAUAAAACAACAUGCAAUAUAACAUAAGAAAUUUGUUAAAGGUUAAAACCCUUGUGAAAGAAAAGCUUCUCUCAGAAAGCUACUUCAGACCCGUUGACUUUUCUUCUCCCCCGCAUUUUUCCCCAAUCUACAUUUGCAUAAUCUUUCCAUCAAAUAAACCUUUUAACUAUUAUGCAG
rnacentral:lncRNA from 1 species